rnacentral:rRNA from 1 species
UACGUAGGGUGCGAGCGUUAAUCGGAAUUACUGGGCGUAAAGCGUGCGCAGGCGGUGAUGUAAGACAGGUGUGAAAUCCCCGGGCUUAACCUGGGAACUGCAUUUGUGACUGCAUCGCUGGAGUGCGGCAGAGGGGGAUGGAAUUCCGCGUGUAGCAGUGAAAUGCGUAGAUAUGCGGAGGAACACCGAUGGCGAAGGCAAUCCCCUGGGCCUGCACUGACGCUCAUGCACGAAAGCGCGGGGAGCAAACAGG